GGUGAGCGCUCGGUGCUGGAGAAGGAGUACGCGGUGCCGGCCUGGGCUGGGCUGGCUGGGCUGGGCGAAAGGAGGGUGGGGCAGAGGGAGGACGCUAGAGGAGAUGCUGCUCGCUGCGGCGGACGGAGUAGAGGAACCGUGGUCGUCGCUGGUGCGGCGGCCCGGAAGAGGCUCAGGACUUAUCUAGCGACGGCCAUCCCCCAUAGUUGAUUGAAGACUCCUUUGAUAAGUCUCGGUCACAAGAAGACAUUCACGAAAGAAUGUUGAGGACGAAGACAUACGUCAGACAACUGCACGUGACAUGGACCGCCAGGAGGUAUCGGUACCACUCAAUGAACGGGAGAGUAAGCAGGUCUGGAACAGUAAGGGACCUGCAGUAACAGUGGCUUAAACCCGUCGGUGGCUCAGACUAAUCCGGUUUAACUUUCACUUCAAGGUAAAACUUGCAAAUUAGUAAAUUACAACCUCUCCUCUUCAACCAUGAAUUUCUAACCACGGUAAAACUUACGAGACAAAAAGUAACGACUUCUGCUAUGACAGUGAUUGGUUACGUCACGUGGAGUUACUUAGUAGUCAGUAGUGUUUUAAGGACAAGUAUAAAAGACCAAUGAAUGGACUCGUUCAGAACUUCCAAGACCUUCGACUACAAUUUCAUCUCGGGUUGUUGAUCUUUUAAGACCAAACCACGGUAGUGUAAAACUGUCGGUAUGUUGUAUUGAUCUUCCCCUUCGUUAUGAACUCUACUGUUUUGAAAAGACUUUACUUCGUUUUGCAAUUCGGAAUUUUUCAUUUUAAGUUAAGAACUCAGAGUAUCAUUACCUUUGGGAAAGAAUCUUCAUGUUGAUACAGUGAACUAAAUAAAGGUUUAGUUUACCGCUUCGAUAUGCUGUGAAGGUAAACGUGCAGUCUGUAUAUUCGGUAUAUCAACAUACCACGGAAGACGAAUAUGAUCGGUUCCAUCAGGUUUGUCCGCUUUUCAUUAUUCCACUGUAUUUAAGACACCCCAGUUUCAUGAAGUUAAUCUCAAUGUGGAAAUCCUUGUAGAAAGUACACAAAUCCACAAACUGCUUCGAUUAUACCUACCAUCGUUUUAAUAGUUUACACGAGUAGCGAACGAAAUCAAAGAUCAAACCAGUACCAAUUACAAUUGAUCGCUAUACACUCGUGGUAUACGUAGAGAGGGAGCUCCUGUCCAAAUAGUGAGAUCAAAGUCACUGCUACUGCCCUAGUGUUUUCGGACACCCACAGGAAACGAAGGUGAUUUUUGAGUAUAGUUCCCGGGUCGGGGUCGGAGUCUAAGUCUAUUUCGCCUAUAUCAACUACUUCGCUAUUGAAAGAAAGCUCGUUUACAAAAGAAGUUUUUGAAGGUACAGUUUUCGGAUCGUCUGUUCAACGAAUAGAUAGACUGUAGGAUGUAGUUAUAACGGAACUUUUCUGAUCUUUCGACGGCCUGUGACCGACAACCUUGAUUCCGUUAGUAAUUGGACCCCAACCUUUUACAGGGACACGGGCCCCUUGGACCCAAAGGAAAGGGACCUGAAAAGUGAGAAGGGCUUAGGCUCCUCCUUCGUCUCAACAACUCCUUGAUAGACUUCGUCUAUUCCCUCCUUUGUUCGCCCUCCGACGAGUUGACACGUAUGUCUCGAUUACCGUGAGGUUUGUUUACCACCAACCGAAAACGUUUCUCCUUCAAGUACUUGGAACAGUAGGAGAUCUCACAUUAAUUCGUAAAGUCGUUGUCCAAUCCCCACAAGAACGUAUAGGAAUAAAGCGAGCGUGUAAAUAAGUAUACUACUACAUUUAUUAGAAAGAAGACUACAUAACUUCAUAUUUUACGGGUUUGUCAAAGAACGUUACAUGACGACAAUAGCACCGGAAGCGACUUAAUUAAGAAGUAAGAGAAGGACACCCAGACCGAGCUUUAGCCUGGUUAAAACGG
rnacentral:rRNA from 1 species